rnacentral:rRNA from 1 species
AUGGAGAGCGAGCAGGUGAAGCGGCGGUUCGGGCGGUGCCCCUACUGCCGCGCCAUGAUCUACCAGGACCCGCAGGCCGUCAUCUACUACUGCAGCAAGUGCCGCACGCCCAUCCGAGGCAAGAACCCGGAGCCCACGGACGACACCGAGUACUCGCUGGCGCAGCUCGAGAUCCUCUCCUUCGACACCAUGUCCACCUACUCCGACGAGACGGAUCCGCCCAAUGGCGGAAACCUCGAGCCGGGCAGCCGGGACAACGGGGUCGCGUCCUCCUCGUCCGCGUACCGGCCCUACAGCGCGAUCAGGACCGGUCCAAGGAGCGGCGAUCUGGGCCGGCACGACGAAGCGGAUCAGGUUCGGCGAAGCGGGUCGCCGCUCCACAGCCGCGUGAGCGAGCUCCGGCCGGCGUCCCGGAGGACCAGGCGGCCGGCGAGCGCUGACCUCGACGCGCCCAAGGACGGAGGCGGCGAGUUCGACGUGCCGCGGACGAGGUCGGCCUCGUCCUACGGCCGCCGGGCGUCGCCGCUCAACUCGCAGGAACUCGAGGCGGCGAUGGGCAUGGUGGGGGAUGGACCGGCCGCUGGUGUGGCCUCGAGAUCGCCGCUGGCUGACCCGGGGUUCCAGCAGAACCUCCUGCACGCUCUCGAGAACCUCCGGAAGCUCAUCGUCGCCGUCGAGGAGCCGCUCAGAGUCGACGCGCCCCGGCUCGCUCCUGGUGUGCCUCCCAAGAGCGCGCCUGGCAGCAACAGCGCCCCUCAGAAAGUCACGCGGCGCGACUCCCGCAUCCUGCGCCGCCUCGAGUCGCAGCUCGCCCAGGCAUUGCCGGCCACCGACAGCGGCCGGCGCCUUGGCAAGCCCAACACCUCGUCGUCAUUGUCUUCGUGGAUGUCCGCGUCGGCGUCGGCAUUGGCACCGGUGUCGGAACCGGCAUCGGCAUCGAGCAGCCGGCGCGGGGCGUCGGCGAGGCACCUAAUCUGCCGCCCGGUCAUGGGCGGCACGCCGUUCGUCCUCUGCGACAAGUGCGAGGAGAUACUGCUGCUACCGGCCGGCCUAUCUGUAGACAAAUUCGCCAGGCUGCAGUGCGGCGGCUGCGACGAAAUGCUCGAGGUGACGCUGCCGGCGAGGGGCGGCGGCUCGACGACGGACCGGCCGAGGAAGAUAUUCUCCGCGCCGCAGCCAGCUGGUUUUGGCGCCGACGACGCGGAGGAGCAGAACACGCGUGCAACUGCGAGGAGCCGUUUGAGCGGCGAGCAGCUACGGCAGGGCCCCGACCAUGGGCUACUCCACCACGUGCUCGGCUACAGCUCGGUGAGCUCGGUUCUCCGGAGCCGUCGGUACGACGACGAGGACAGCUGA